GUCUACAGAUUCAUCAGAGCAAGAGGAUGCUGUCCGGGAUGGGUCCCUCCACAAGCUCCAGUCAGAGAUGACUCCAUUCAGCCACUCUGGCAGAAGAACAAUUCCUAAGGUCCCCUUUCCAAGUCUUUUCUCUUCCCCAAAG
rnacentral:lncRNA from 1 species